rnacentral:rRNA from 1 species
GGCGUAGGAGACAAACGUUAUCCGGAGUUACUGGGCGUAAAGGGCGUGUAGGUGGUAUCGUAAGUCUGGCGUGAAAUUUCUCGGCUUAACCGAGGCAGGUCGUCGGAUACUGCGAGGCUAGAGGACGGUAGAGGCGUGUGGAAUUCCGGGUGUAGUGGUGAAAUGCGUAGAGAUCCGGAGGAACACCAGUGGCGAAGGCGACACGCUGGGCCGUACCUGACACUGAUGCGCGACAGCAUGGGGAGCAAACAGG